rnacentral:lncRNA from 1 species
AUCCCAGGAGCCUUUAAAUACUGUGAACAACACGAAAUUUUAUUUAUCUCUUAAAAAAAAAGAAAAAAGAAAAAACCUGACUGAAAAAUAGGAUCAAAGAUUCUGGGAAUCAAAGAGAAUUAUUGGAUCUAGGAAAACCUCCUGCAAAUCCUGAGAACAGAAGAUGUUUCCUGUCAGAGAUGCUGAGUUAGAGAGCCUGAGGGGCAGAGGGUAGACCAAGCUCAGCUCUAACUGUAAACAUACUGUACAGGGUACCAAAGGAACAAAGCCUGGCUAACUGAAGGCUAUGGAGGAAAAUGAACCUGUUUUUGAAGGAUUAAAAACUGAUUUUCCUCACAGCUACUGAUUUCUAGCUGACUCUUUGUACUUGGUAACUAAAUCUUUUGUGGGAGGGUCUCCUUUUAUUUUGUGCUUGGAUUGCAUAGCAGAGCUUUGGAGUGUUGUGGCAAUAAGAAGUGGAACUGUAGUCAUUAGCUGGUAAAAACACUGAGCAGACUAUCUGAUACAUGGUGCUACUAUAUCCUUUAAAGGAUA